rnacentral:lncRNA from 1 species
UAUAGGCUACAUAACCCCCCAAAGUCAUAAACGUAACCCAUCUCUUUAUUCUUCACGUAUUAAGACUCCUUACUGCGUUAAAAUACUCCAUCCCACGUCCCAACCGCAACUAAUGUAAAAACUUGAUUUCUAGCCAUUGGAUCAUAAGUAAACAUCUCAGAUCGUGCUUCAUCUUCACCUUAUCAGCUUCAAAAUCAUACUGACCAUCGGAUCGAGCGUUUGGAUCGUUCUGGACCG